rnacentral:rRNA from 1 species
GACGAACGCUGGCGGCGUGCUUAACACAUGCAAGUCGAACGAUGAAGCCGGAGCUUGCUCUGGUGAAUUAGUGGCGAACGGGGGAGUAACACGUGAGUAACCUGCCCUUGACUCUGGGAUAACUGCGGGAAACUGUAGCUAAUACCGGAUACGACCCUCGGAGGCAUCUCCUGGGGGUGGCAAUACUUUCGGUCAAGGAUGGACUCGCGGCCUAUCAGCUAGUUGGUGAGGUAACGGCUCACCAAGGCGACGACGGGUAGCCGGCCUGAGAGGGUGACCGGCCACACUGGGACUGAGACACGGCCCAGACUCCUACGGGAGGCAGCAGUGGGGAAUAUUGCACAAUGGGCGCAAGCCUGAUGCAGCAACGCCGCGUGAGGGAUGACGGCCUUCGGGUUGUAAACCUCUUUUAGUAGGGAAGAAGCGAAAGUGACGGUACCUGCAGAAAGAGCACCGGCUAACUACGUGCCAGCCGCCGCGGUAA